rfam:Capsicum annuum cultivar Zunla-1 chromosome 9, whole genome shotgun sequence
ACGACCUUACUUGAACAGGAUCUGUUCUAUAGGCUCGUAACACUGUAUCCUUGACUUCAAAAGAGACAGAAAAUCAAGUCUAGUGGAUGAACCGUGGCCAUGAGACUAGAACGUGAUUAACAGCCUCCAUGGCCUUUAGGUCAUGAUGCAGUAGAUUGUCGUUCUCAGCCUGGUUCGCUGGGCUAGAGAUGGUCUCGUGGCUAUCUGACAGAAU